CACGAGCAGAUCUACUAAGCAGAGGUUCAGGCUUGUCCCUGUCUGGGCAAUCUCCUACCCCCCCCGAGCCAGCACCUCUGCAGGAAAGUCCUUUAACCACACUUAGGCCCACGCCACCCUUUAACCUCAGGAACAAUGGCCAGGCCCAUGCCACCCUCCACCUGGCUGCUGGGGUCCAGCCACUGCCGACCGUGCGCCAGACGUGGCUGCUCACAAAGCGUGACUAAUGCCUCCUCCGAGACACAGGCUUUCCUCUGCACUUCCCGGCAAGGUCAGACACGAUAUAGCUCCGAAUCAUCAGGAUGACGAAGUCCACCUGGGCGCGGGGAAGGCAGGCACCUGGGAGUUGUUGGCCGUCGUCAGACCCCGAUGAUGCCGCAACCUCCACCAACUGCGGUCCGGUCCGCUUGGAGGGGAAGCGCCCUGCCCUGGAAGAGGAGAGAGCGGAGGGAGCCCAGCCUGCCACCCUCUCCCCUGCGGAGGGACCCACAAUGGGGCCGUGGCCCUGCGGUCACCUCCAGCCCCAUCUGGGAGCUGUGGUAGACAUCAGCUACCAUCGACUGGGAGCAUCUCCAUCCAUCAACCGCCGACAAGGAGCAUCUCUGCUCGUGCCCCCAAAAUGUUGACCCCGUGGCUAAACCCACAGGAGCUAGGAGGCCCCGGUCCUGACCCUGGCUCGGAUGUUGCCUCGCUCGCUGCAUGACCUUGGGCUCGGUUUGGGGUCUGCCCCCAGCUGUGUCAGAGCAGAUGCGGACCACAGCUGUCCUCUCCCCUGGCUGUAGAGAGACACAGGGAGAGAUGUCUGGUCAGCCUCUGCCUAACAGGAUUAAUUAAAUCAUCUAAUUAAACAAAGUGUUCAGCCACUUUUGUAAGGCUGGGUCUAAAUCCACAAUCAGCCACCCUUGGAAAGGCACCAGGGAGGAGGUGUCUGCCUUGGGCUAAUUUUGAGAAGACAAAGACUAUGGGGGCCCUGGCUUCUCCCAUCUGUAAGAAAGGGAUAGUAACCCUGCAUUUCCCAGGCAGAGGUGUCCGGAGGCUUAAUUAAUUCAUGCUGGUGAAAGGCUUUGAAUCCCUGAGCUGGAAGGUGUGGGAAGGCAGACUAUUGGUGUGACCCUCGACGCAGAUAGGUGGGCGGCAGAGCAUGAUGCAACCGAUGGACCACGACCCGAAUGAUCCUUGCUUGGCUGUGUGACAUCGCGUCGCCUCCCCUCGUCUCCCAUUGUCUUGUCUACAUCAACGGGGCGCGCUGUGUGACAGGGGCCGUCUCCCGCUCCGGGUGCGCACAAUGGAGCCCUGGUCCGAGCUGGCGUCUCGAGGGAUCGCUGUCAUGCAAUCCCAUUGAGCUGUCUUGUUGGUAACGAGCAAUUACAUUUUUAUUGCUGUUUGAACCAGCAGGGCCUCAGAGACAGGAUGGGACCGGACCUCCUUUGUCCCCAGAAAGGGGACUUUUUUUUGUGUCUCAAAACCCUGUUUUGGCAUUUACUUUCCUGACAGGAAGAGAUCCCUGUUAUCUGAUUUCCUACAGUGCCCCAUUCCCAGUUACAUUCACUGACAUCCCCACGGCAGCAGGAAUCCUGGUUUUCUCCAAUAUAAAAAAAAUCCCCAAUUUUCGUAUUUAAAAAAAAGUAACCCCAAAUCCACAUUUUGCUGUGAUUAAAAUGAAACACAACUCUCUCUCUCUCUCUCUCAUAUAUAUGUAUUAGUGAUGUUUCAUCAAGGAAAAUUGUGGAUUUGGGGUUACUUUUUUUAAUCCAAAAAUUGGGGAUUUUUUUAAAUUGGAGAAAACCAAGAUCCCUGCUAGUCAGACACUGCCCACAAACCCAGCUGGAUGCUUGGACUAGCAGAAACAAUCCUGGAGUUGCAGACAAGGGGGUGGAAGGGACCUGGGGAGGUGACGUCUAGUCCAAGCCCUGCUCCAGGCAGAACCAGCCCCACCUAGAUGGUAUGCGAGGCGAGGGGUGGUUAUUUGCACUUGGACCUGCUCUGUUGCAAGGCAUCAAGUAUUGGCAUCUUGGAGGGCAGAACAACGGUCCAUCUAGGCCUCAGAGGUCAUCUCUGAUGUUACUGGGCUAGAAACCGUGUCCAGGACCCAAAGAGACGCCUGGGACACGAGCCGGGACCGGCAGCAGCAUUGCUCCGAAGCCGCGUGUGAAGUGAAGGGCUCUGGGGGCCGGCUCCUCCAAAGGGAAGGAAAGGCUCGUCCAUGUAGGUAGCGUAGUCCCAGGCCCCCAAAUAAAGACACAGAGCACUGGGGCCGUUGCAGGAGGCAAAUGCCCCAGGACACGUUGAUCAGGAAAGCAGCAGCAUUAUGAGCGUAACCCUUCUGAGACCCACAUCCACGGGCUGCCACAGACAAAAGCCAACCUCAUGGGAGCAGCACUGGAUAAUGCGAAUCGGGGGUCCGCCCUCCAGCCUGACUCUGCAAGGGGCUCGCCGUUGCUGCUUAGUUUUGCCCGCAGGGGUUUUGAGGAGACCUGCGCCGUGUCAGCGGCUAACACUGGAUUAGUCACCUCUGAGGCUCUGCCUGGGCAGGAGCAGCCUUUUGCUGCAGGGGGGACAGGAUGAAGGGGCGCGAGCUAGACCCCAGGAAGGGUCAGUGCAGAUCCUGCGCAGCACUACGGGGGGGCAGCGUGGAGAGCCCCGUGCAAAAGGAAGGGGAAACGCGGUGAUUCAGGAGCAGUCAGACCUCCACGUGGAGGUUA